AUCUAGUCUUGUUCCAGAGUCUGAAUUUUAUUAAACACAUUGAGAAACCACUGAAAGAUUUUGGGCAGGAAAGUGACAUGAUUUCCUUUACGUUUUAAGUAGAACAUCAUGUGGGCUUUGUGAUAACUGAAUGGAGAUCACGGAAGCAGAGGACCAAACCGAAGAUCAUUGCAGUGGUCCAGACAGGAACUCACAUUCCCAUCUCACCUUUUGGGGGCUCACCCAGGAUUCCUCAAUGCCUGCUCGAGGUAAGCACAGAUACUCACUCUCCACUCUGAUAUUCACCUCUUCUUACCUAAUCUAGCUGCAUGGUCUCUUUACCACUCAUUGUUUCACAAGCCUGCUUGAGUCCCAAAGGCAGAAAGAGUUAGAAGACAGUGGCCUUGGGCCUUGGUAUUGACCAGCUGAUUGACCUGGAGGUGCUGAUCAAAACCUCUGCUAGGCUGCUGCCUCAGUGAGAACUGCAGGACAUCUACCAUGUCUCUUUCCUAACAUCUAGAGGUCGUGAGAGUUUUCAC
ensembl:lncRNA